rnacentral:rRNA from 1 species
UACGGAGGGUGCAAGCGUUGUUCGGAUUUACUGGGCGUAAAGCGCGCGCAGGCGGAUUGACAAGUCAGAUGUGAAAUCUCGGGGCUCAACCCCGAAACUGCGUCUGAAACUGUUAGUCUAGAAUCUCAUAGGGGGUAGGGGAAUUUCACGUGUAGGGGUAAAAUCCGUAGAGAUGUGAAGGAACACCUGAGGCGAAGGCGCCUGCCUGGAUGAGUAUUGACGCUGAGGCGCGAAAGCGUGGGGAGCAAACAGG